UCACAUUGCGAUAAGACGUGUCACGGUACUUGUGUGUCCCAAAUUCAUGUAUUUGGUUUUGAUGUUAUAUUUGUUAUUCUCGUGGGAUUUUGUCUGAUGCUUGGUCCGUUUCUGUGUGUGUUACAUUUUAGUGUUGUGUCGUUGUUCUCCUCUUAUAUUUAAUGCGUUUCCCUCGAUUUUAGUUUGUUACCCCGAUUUUGUUUUUUGUCCAUGGAUUUAUGAGUUUUGAACAGCGGUAUACUACUGUUGCCUUUAUUUGAUAUGUUU
rnacentral:lncRNA from 1 species